GACAGAGGUGCCAAGCGUUAGGCGGAAUCACUGGGCUUAAGCGUGUGUAGGCGGAAUGGUAAGUACCUUGUGAAAUCCCACGGCUCAACCGUGGAACUGCUGGGUAUACUGCUUUCUUGAGCCACUUAGGGCUGUCGGAACAAACGGUGGAGCGGUGAAAUGCGUAGAUAUCGUUUGGAACGCCAAUGGUGAAACAGACAGCUGGGAGUGUGCUGACGCUGAGACACGAAAGCCAGGGAGCGAACGGG
rnacentral:rRNA from 1 species